rnacentral:rRNA from 1 species
CCCUUAGAUGUCCGGGGCUGCACGCGCGCUACACUGAAGGAAUCAGCGUGCUAAAACCAUUGUCGAAAGGCAUUGGUAAACCCAUUAAAAUCCUACGUGAUUGGGAUCGGGAAUUGCAAUUAUUUCCCUUGAACGAGGAAUUCCAGUAAGUGUGGGUCAUAAGCUCGCGUUGAUUACGUCCCUGCCCUUUGUACACACCGCCCGUCGCUGCCCGGGACUGAGCCGUUUCGAGAAAAGCGGGGACUGCUGCUGUCGGGGCUUUCGGGCCUUGGCUUCGGUGGAAACCGCUUUAAUCGCAGUGGCUUGAACCGGGCAAAAGUCGUAACA